rnacentral:tRNA from 1 species
GCUGGAGUAGCUCAGUCGAUUAGAGCGUAUGGCUGUUAACCAUAAGGUCGGAGGUGCGACCCCUCCCUGUAGCG